UAAUAAAUGCGGAAGAGAUAAGUGCUGAAAGCAUCUAAGCACGAAACUUGCCCCGAGAUGAGUUCUCCCUGAGACUUAGAGUCUCCUGAAGGAACGUUGAAGACGACGACGUUGAUAGGCCGGGUGUGUAAGCGCAGCGAUGCGUUGAGCUAACCGGUACUAAUGAACCGUGAGGCUUAACCUU
rnacentral:rRNA from 1 species